AUCAGCUGAAAAUCACCCAUAUCUCUGGCCAUGGAGUUGGGUGAAGUUCAGUGCCCAGAAUCAGUAUGGCCUCAGCUCACUACCUACUCUUCAGUCUGGGGAGGUGAAAGCUAGGCCCUACCAUGC